GCUGGGUGUGGUGGCGUGCACCUGUAGUCCCAGCUACUCGGGAGGCUGAGGCGGGAGAAUCGCUUGAACCCGGGAGGUGGAGCUUGCAGUGAGCCGAGAUUGUGCCACUGCACUCCAGCCUGGGCGACAGAGUGAGACUCCGUCUCAA
rnacentral:SRP_RNA from 2 species